AGCUUUGUGCAGUGGCAGUAUCAUAGCCAUUGUAGGUUUAUUCAAGGAAUGAUUAUUGCUAAUUGAAAACUUUUCCCAAUACUCCCCAUAACAACUAGAAAUACAGUCAGCAUUGGCAAUUAAGAAAGAGAGAGAGAAAAAGAACUAU